rnacentral:lncRNA from 1 species
CGGUCCCACGUCAUUAAAAUUUGAAAGCAGAUACCUCACAUGCCUUAUUAAAUAUGUUGGGCAACGGUGGACGCAGAGGUGGGCCAGCCUAGUUAAUCCUUCUUUCACUGAUUAGAAGCUUGGACGGAGCUCUGCCAUAGACCAUUGGAAGCAGCACAUUUUGAAAACGCUUCGAGUUGGGUCUUUCCUGGUGCUUUCUGGUGAGAAUUCGAAGAGGUGAUCUGGUAUGCAGAGGAACCGUCGGUUUUGUGGUUCCUGGUUUUUUGACUUUUGCUGGUUUUAGCUUUCUAGUUUUCAUUUUGUUUUUUACCCAUUUUUGAUGGCCUUGAAAUUUGGGCAGACUAUUUCUUUUAUUUCAUUUCACUUUAAUUUAAU